CGAGGGAUAAGAAGAGAGAAUGCCGGAAUGAGUAGCGAGAGAAAGGUGGGAAUCCUUUCGGCCGAAUAUCUAAGGUUUCCAGAGUAAAGCUGAUCUGCUCUGGGUAAGGGGCCUAAGCACAGGUCGCAAGACGUAAGCGAUGGAUAACAGGUUUAGAUUCCUGUACCACGCAUUAUCAGAACUGUAGGGACGCAUGUGGAAAGCACGAGCCGGGAGUGGAAAGACCGGUACAAGCGGGGUAGGUGUACAACAGGCAAAUCCGUUGUAUAAUCCGAAGACGUGAUGUGGAGCGAAAUAAAGUAGUGAAGCGUGUGAGCCAUGUGCCGAGAAAAGCUGCUAUUGUGUAAUGCGUGCCCGUACCGUAAACCGACACAGGUGGAUGAGGAGAGAAUCCUAAGGCCGACGGAAGAAGCAUUGUUAAGGAAUUCGGCAAAAUGACCCCGUAACUUCGGGAGAAGGGGUGCCUGCGAGAGCAGGCCGCAGAGAAUAGGCUCAAGCAACUGUUUAGCAAAAACACAGGUCUAUGCGAAACCGAAAGGUGAGGUAUAUGGGCUGACGCCUGCCCGGUGCUGGAAGGUUAAGAGGAGAGGUUAGCGUAAGCGAAGCUUUGAAUUUAAGCCCCAGUAAACGGCGGCCGUAACGAUAACGGUCCUAAGGUAGCGAAAUUCCUUGUCGGGUAAGUUCCGACCCGCACGAAAGGCGUAAUGAUUUGAGCACUGUCUCGACAAUGCAUCCGGUGAAAUUGAAGUACCAGUGAAGAUGCUGGUUACCCGCGCCAGGACGGAAAGACCCCAUGGAGCUUUACUCCAGUUUGAUACUGGGAUUCGGUACUGCAUGUACAGGAUAGGUGGGAGACAAAGAAGGAUGGACGCCAGUCUGUCCGGAGUCGCUGUUGGGAUACCACCCCUGUAGUACUGGGUUUCUAACCAGUUGCCAUGAACUGGCAAUGGGACAAUGUCAGGCGGGGAGUUUGACUGGGGCGGUCGCCUCCGAAAGGGUAUCGGAGGCGCUCAAAGGUUCCCUCAGAAUGGUUGGAAACCAUUUGAAGAGUGCAAAGGCAGAAGGGAGCUUGACUGCGACACCGACGGGUGGAGCAGGUACGAAAGUAGGACUUAGUGAUCCGGUGGUAUAAAGUGGGAUUGCCAUCGCUCAACGGAUAAAAGCUACCCUGGGAUAACAGGCUUAUCACUCCCAAGAGUUCACAUCGACGGAGUGGUUUGGCACCUCGAUGUCGGCUCAUCGCAUCCUGGGGCUGUAGCAGGUCCCAAGGGUUGGGCUGUUCGCCCAUUAAAGCGGUACGCGAGCUGGGUUCAGAACGUCGUGAGACAGUUCGGUCCCUAUCCGGCGCGGGCGGAGGAUAUUUGAGAGGAGCUGUCCUUAGUACGAGAGGACCGGGAUGGACGGACCACUGGUGUAUCUGUUGUCGACCAACGGCAUGGCAGAGUAGCCAAGUCUGGAAGGGAUAAACGCUGAAGGCAUCUAAGCGUGAAGCCCCCCUCAAGAUGAGAUAUCCCUCCUUCGGGAGUAAGACCCCUUGAAGACUACAAGAUAGAUAGGGCAGAGGUGGAAGCAUGGCAACAUGUGGAGCUGACUGUUACUAAUAGGUCGAGGGCUUAACGA
rnacentral:rRNA from 1 species